AAAGUCGUAACAAGGUUUCCGUAGGUGAACCUGCGGAAGGAUCAUUAAAAAAGUACGCCUGGUGAUAAGCCAGGUAGUAUAAAACCACCUGUUUACCUUUACCUGUUGCUUCCGUGGAAUACGGGUGCUCUUCCUGUUCGCAGGCUUGAGUUACCUUCCACGGGUGUAUUCAAAAACUCGUUUUGUAAUUUUGUCUGAUAUAAAAUUUUAAUAAAAGUUAAAACUUUCAACAACGGAUCUCUAGGUUCUC
rnacentral:misc_RNA from 1 species